ensembl:lncRNA
CUACACAAACACACCCAAACACAGAAACAUGUCAGGAUACAAUAUGAAAGCCCAGCAAAUUUCCCACAAGUUAUGAGUUUGAGUUUAUGAAUUUUACAAGAAUCUUCAGUCAAGCCAUGUCAGCAUUUGAGGCUGAAAACGGUGAGUAUACUUUCAAAAUAAAAUGUAAGACGUCGACAAAAUAGCUUAUUACCACUUUGACUAAAUGCCUGAUUGAUACACAUUAGGUAGUGUAGUUAUAAGUUAAACAUUUCAAAGGGAAAUAGUUAUCCUAACGUAUCUUUAACUUCAUAGCAUGCGUUGUUGACGCCAAUGCAUUUUACAUGCUUGGAAAUCGUUUAUAUAUAAUAAUUUAUUUUAAUUUAAAAACGAGGAAAACCCCCCAGUUAUUUAUAUAUGUUUGUGUGUUCUUGUGCUCUACACGGUUCAUGGAGUUUAACGCUUUAUUUUUCACCAGUUUUAGCUGUACAGAGAGCAUUUAAAAGCUGCACUCAAAUGAAGGUGACCGAACAUGCUUUUAUUUUGGUAAGCGCAUAUGGAACGUCGUGUCGUCAUGCUCGAUACAUUUGACGCCGCGGUGACCGUGACGGAGUCAGGAAACAAGCCAAGCCGAGCCGAGCCGAGCCGAGCCGCGCAGCGGCUGCAUUACCGCACAGACCGCAGCCUUUUACCUGAAGAUGGAAGCACACCCGGGGAAGACGUCCGCUGUCAGGGCGAACCACCGAGACGGAUAAAAGGCGCAGAGCUCCGGCCGUUAGGGGGGAGGGGGGGCGGAGCUGGUGUGGGUGUCACGCCGCGUGCGUGCAGGUAAACCGCCGCAGGCAGCCAGAUAGCUUAGCACCAGACGCUAACGUAACCAGCGGGGCGAGUUGGGGUCGGAUGAACUGUUGUCAGACCCGAACGCCCAGCGUGGAUAUUUUUAAUCGAGCGAAUAUUUAACUGUCAUCGCAAAGGACCCGCAAAGCCUCCUUUUUAUUGUUUUCUUGUAUUAUUUUGUUUUGCCCUCGAGGAUAUUGUCGCGGCUGCCGGUGGCGGCAGCUUGAUUGACAGCCCGUCUCAGCGGGUCCUCCAGAUGUGACAGUGACGCUCGGGCGCUUCAUAAGUCAGCCGGCCGCAGGAGCGGCUGCCCGCCGCGAAUGGCUGCCCGUCUGGAAGUCCCGGGCGGACUCUUAGCUCGACCGAACCGCGUCAACGCGCGACCAACGUCCUUCUGGCAGCGAGGCGCCGCCGCCGCCGCCGAAGCGGACACGUUGCUGGCCCGCUAACCGACCGACGUGACACCGAGAGGCGUGACCCGCGCCGCCGCUGCUGUUAAUUAACAUUACUUCACAGUUUAAGUCAUGAAGAGGACGGAGAAUAAGAACAAGAGGAAGCUCUUGGAGCACCAGGACAGCGGCGCAGCGGAGAAAGAUGCGUGUCCCUGUGGGUGGCCAGCUGUGGACCUCCUGAAGGCACGGUCAGUACAGACUGGGGGAAGCUGGAAUGUUACAAGCAGAAACCUGCAGGCUUCGCACUCGCUGCUGUUUGAAUGCAAACACACGGCUGUUUGCACGGCUGCACCCAACGCUCAUUUCAUGAUCACUCCAUCGCGUCUCGAUGAAUUCAAGAUAAUAUUGCGGACCUCCGAUGGAUGUUAAGCUGCUACGAUUGAAGCCGGAUGGAAUCUGAGCCUUGCAUGGAGAGAGUUUGGAGGAUCCAACAGCAACAAUCAAAGCGGGUUCAAUCCUAAAUACCAUCCAUGAACAAACACUGCGUAUUCUAGUCAUAGUGGUCUCUAACUGUAUAGAGAAGCCUUAACAGGGAAAAAUAAAUAUAUUUCACUUUUUUUCAGCUUGUGAAAUGAGGUCAACCAAUCAGAAUCCAGCGCUCCAACCGCUCUGUUCUGCAGGUGUUGUCGGGGGCUUUUUAGCUGCUGGUCCUCUCCUCCCCUCUUUGCCAUAAUGGGAGAGUGAAGGUCCAAGGCUGCGGGAUAAUGGCGGCGUCUCAAUAACUCGCCACCCCAUGUUUACACACCCUGUAAAUAUGUUUCAUAACCUUUUGGGCUCCGGCCAGUAAAGGAGCUUCCAACAAAACAUCCUGCUUCCUCCAGCUCGGCAGCUAACUACACGGGCCCAAACAUGGCCGCCUGUUUCCCCCGGCAACACACCAUACCUCCUGAUCCUUCUCACCACACCUCGUCUGGAUGCAAUUGCACACAGGCUUUGUGACCUCAUUACAGGUGCUACAUUCAUAAAAUGAUCAGUCUCAGUUCGCUGUUAUCACUUGACCUGUAAACGUACACGCUGCUGUAGCAAAAUAAUUUCCUCUUGCAGGAUAAUGGUAACUAUCUAUGUAUCUGUCCAUUUCAUUCAAUGUAUUUAAUAUAUUUAUAUCUACACUAUCUAGUCCAUCUAAUCCAAACUAUAUUUCUAGCACUCUGUGUUUAUGAGUACAAGUCUAUAAGAAAAUGACUUCACUUCUCACCGGAUUUAUGACCUCAGUAACUCCGGUUGGCAAUCGACAUAUGGGUGAUGUCACCACAUCUAGGUGUACUUCUUUUAUGGUAUCCACGAGCCGAACAUAAAAAGCUGAAAACAGAGGCUGUUGUUGCGUGUUGGUGACGCAGACCGAUUUAUCUCCUGUUCGAGAUCGAUCGUAAACAUUUGAGUGCGGAAAACAAAGAACGGAAAACAAAGCCGCACUGUGCAC